rnacentral:rRNA from 1 species
ACACGACUACAUUAGAUACCCGUGUAGUCCAGGGUGUAAACGCUGCGGGCUUGGUGUUGGGGGGCCCUUUGAGGGCGCCCAGUGCCGGAGAGAAGUUGUUAAGCCUGCUGCUUGGGGAGUACGUCCGCAAGGAUGAAACUUAAAGGAAUUGGCGGGGGAGCACCGCAACGGGAGGAGCGUGCGGUUCAAUUGGAUUCAACGCCGGACAACUCACCAGGAGCGACGGUUACAUGAAGGCCAGGCUGAUGACCUUGCCUGAUUUUCCG